AGAGUUUGAUCAUGGCUCAGAUUGAACGCUGGCGGCAGGCCUAACACAUGCAAGUCGAGCGGUAGCACAGAGAGCUUGCUCUCGGGUGACGAGCGGCGGACGGGUGAGUAAUGUCUGGGAAACUGCCUGAUGGAGGGGGAUAACUACUGGAAACGGUAGCUAAUACCGCAUAACGUCGCAAGACCAAAGUGGGGGACCUUCGGGCCUCAUGCCAUCAGAUGUGCCCAGAUGGGAUUAGCUAGUAGGUGGGGUAACGGCUCACCUAGGCGACGAUCCCUAGCUGGUCUGAGAGGAUGACCAGCCACACUGGAACUGAGACACGGUCCAGACUCCUACGGGAGGCAGCAGUGGGGAAUAUUGCACAAUGGGCGCAAGCCUGAUGCAGCCAUGCCGCGUGUGUGAAGAAGGCCUUCGGGUUGUAAAGCACUUUCAGCGGGGAGGAAGGCGAUAAGGUUAAUAACCUUGUCGAUUGACGUUACCCGCAGAAGAAGCACCGGCUAACUCCGUGCCAGCAGCCGCGGUAAUACGGAGGGUGCAAGCGUUAAUCGGAAUUACUGGGCGUAAAGCGCACGCAGGCGGUCUGUCAAGUCGGAUGUGAAAUCCCCGGGCUCAACCUGGGAACUGCAUUCGAAACUGGCAGGCUAGAGUCUUGUAGAGGGGGGUAGAAUUCCAGGUGUAGCGGUGAAAUGCGUAGAGAUCUGGAGGAAUACCGGUGGCGAAGGCGGCCCCCUGGACAAAGACUGACGCUCAGGUGCGAAAGCGUGGGGAGCAAACAGGAUUAGAUACCCUGGUAGUCCACGCCGUAAACGAUGUCGAUUUGGAGGUUGUGCCCUUGAGGCGUGGCUUCCGGAGCUAACGCGUUAAAUCGACCGCCUGGGGAGUACGGCCGCAAGGUUAAAACUCAAAUGAAUUGACGGGGGCCCGCACAAGCGGUGGAGCAUGUGGUUUAAUUCGAUGCAACGCGAAGAACCUUACCUGGUCUUGACAUCCACAGAACUUUCCAGAGAUGGAUUGGUGCCUUCGGGAACUGUGAGACAGGUGCUGCAUGGCUGUCGUCAGCUCGUGUUGUGAAAUGUUGGGUUAAGUCCCGCAACGAGCGCAACCCUUAUCCUUUGUUGCCAGCGGUUCGGCCGGGAACUCAAAGGAGACUGCCAGUGAUAAACUGGAGGAAGGUGGGGAUGACGUCAAGUCAUCAUGGCCCUUACGACCAGGGCUACACACGUGCUACAAUGGCAUAUACAAAGAGAAGCGACCUCGCGAGAGCAAGCGGACCUCAUAAAGUAUGUCGUAGUCCGGAUUGGAGUCUGCAACUCGACUCCAUGAAGUCGGAAUCGCUAGUAAUCGUAGAUCAGAAUGCUACGGUGAA
rnacentral:rRNA from 1 species